CCUACGGGAGGCAGCAGUGAGGAAUAUUGGUCAAUGGCCGGGAGGCUGAACCAGCCAAGUCGCGUGAGGGAAGACGGCCCUACGGGUUGUAAACCUCUUUUGUCGGGGAGCAAGGUGCAGGUCGGGACCUGCUGUGAGAGUACCUGAAGAAAAAGCAUCGGCUAACUCCGUGCCAGCAGGCGCGGUAAUACGUAGGGGGCAAGCGUUAUCCGGAUUUACUGGGUGUAAAGGGAGCGUAGACGGCAGCGCAAGUCUGAAGUGAAAUCCCAUGGCUUAACCAUGGAACUGCUUUGGCAACUGUGCAGCAGGAGUGCAGUGGAGGUAAGCGGAAUUCCGAGUGUAGCGGUGAAAUGCGUAGAUAUUAGGAGGAACACCAGUGGCGAAGGCGGCUUACUGGACUGUAACUGACGUUGAGGCUCGAAAGCGUGGGGAGCAAACAGGAUUAGAUACCCCAGUAGUC
rnacentral:rRNA from 1 species